rnacentral:misc_RNA from 1 species
AAUUCAAUUCAGAUAAACCUCAAAUGAUCAUCAAAAUUUGUUCAUUAUUUCUAUCCCAAAUUCCUCUGGCUAUAUCCAUAUGCUUAUUGAGUGCGCUCUCAAUCUCAAAUUGAAAGCAGAGACACAUGACAUUUGAGUAUACGAGAAAGAAGAAGCCAAAAAGGAAAAUCUAAUCAUUGAAACAUCUGUAUGCUCACAAUUCACCAUCCCAAAGUUCUUCCACUGUCCUGUAAACGCCGUAAGUCUCAUCUACAAAUCCACUGCCUCUUAUUAGCCUCAUCUGCUCAAUUUCAGUAAACUUGGCAAACAAAUCUUCAGGAAUAGACCAGUCAAAAACAUCGAUGUUUUCCUUGAUCCUUGCCUUAUUCGUGCUCUUAGGCAAUACACUGUGACCCAUUUGAAGUCCCCAUCGCACAGCAACUUGCGCAGGGGCCUUGCCUAAUUUCUCAGCAACUGUAGUGAGAACAGGAUUCUUGAGAACCUGAGUCUUGACGGUUCCUGUUCCUGGGGAACCUAGUGGCGAAUACCCACUUAAAUGAAUUCCCUUGGAUUUACAGUAUUCAUGAAGCUUUGGCUGCUGCCAUACGGGGUGAAUCUCCACUUGGUUAACAGCAGGAGUAACACGAGCAACAGCUAGCAGAUCUUCAAGCUUCUUUGUAGAGAAAUUACUAACUCCAAUAGCUCGAGACUUGCCAGAAUCAAACAAUGCUUCCAUUG